rnacentral:rRNA from 1 species
ACGCGUAGACAAUCUGCCCUUUAGUUCGGGAUAAGCUUUGGAAACGGAGUCUAAUACCGGAUGUGAUCAUUUAAACGCAUGUUUGAAUGAUUAAAGAUCUAGAAUCGCUAAAGGAUGAGUCUGCGUAGCAUUAGCUAGUUGGUAAGGUAACGGCUUACCAAGGCAUCGAUGCUUAGCUGGUCUGAGAGGAUGAUCAGCCACACUGGGACUGAGAUACGGCCCAGACUCC